rnacentral:rRNA from 1 species
UAAGACGUAGGGGACGAGCGUUGUCCGGAUUCAUUGGGCGUAAAGCGCGCGUAGGCGGUUACGCAAGUCGGUUGUGAAAAUCCGGGGCUCAACCCCGGACCUGCAUCCGAUACUGCGUGACUAGAGGUAGGUAGGGGAGAUCGGAAUUCCUGGUGUAGCGGUGAAAUGCGCAGAUAUCAGGAGGAACACCGGUGGCGAAGGCGGAUCUCUGGGCCUUACCUGACGCUCAGGCGCGAAAGCUAGGGGAGCGAACAGGAUUAGAUACCCUGGUAGUCCUAGCCGUAAACGUUGGAUGCUAGGUGUGGGGGGACAUCGACCCCUUCCGUGCCGAAGCUAACGCAUUAAGCAUCCCGCCUGGGGAGUACGGCCGCAAGGCUA